rnacentral:lncRNA from 1 species
CAUAUAGUUGCAUUAUAGGGAACUAACAUCUAACCCUAUGUUGUUGGAUUUUAGUUAUUGGUUUAUUGAUAUCUGAUUUGAUGUUAUAUUGUUGAGAUUAUUAUUAUCUAGGCUAAUCUAUGUUAAGUUGUUGAUAUAUGAGUUUAGUUAUAUUGCUGGUUUUGUUGAUAUCUGGAUUAACUUAAGUUGCUAGUUUAUUUACCAUGCUAGGUAAUUAAAUUUGAAUAGCAUAAUUUUCUCCUUUAUAUGUGGUAGUUGCAUGGAGUUAACCCUUUCUAUUUGCUACUUGUUAUUUGGGCGCUUAACGCUAUUAGGCGAUGAAGAGCCUUCUGGCGAUGCUUAGCCAUGCUGAGAUGGAGAAGGGAUAGUAACNNNN